GAUGAACGCUAGCGGCAGGCCUAAUACAUGCAAGUCGAACGGUGUCUUCGGACAUAGUGGCGCACGGGUGCGUAACACGUAUGCAACCUACCUUACAUUGGGGGAUAGCCUUUCGAAAGGGAGAUUAAUACCGCAUAAGACAGUAGCUGGGCAUCCAGCAGCUGUUAAAGAUUUAUCGAUGUAAGCUGGGCAUGCGUCCAAUUAGCUAGUUGGGGAGGUAGCGGCUCACCAAGGCAAGGAUUGGUAGGGGAACUGAGAGGUCAAUCCCCAACGCUGGCACUGAGACACGGGCCAGACUCCUACGCGAGGCAGCAGUAGGGGAUAUUGGGCAAUGGACGCAAGUCUGACCCAGCCAUGCCGCGUGCAGGAUGAAGGCGUUAUGCGUUGUAAACUGCUUUUAUACAGGAAGAAACGACUCUUGCGAGAGGCAUUGACGGUACUGUAUGAAUAAGCACCGGCUAACUCCGUGCCAGCCGCCGCUGUAAAAC
rnacentral:rRNA from 1 species